rnacentral:lncRNA from 1 species
UUUAAAAGGGGUGAGGUAUUAUGAUGAAUUGGUUGCUCAAGUGGUUAGAAGAAGCCACCAAAAAUACUUAGCCAUUCUCCCACAAAUAUCUAUGUCCAAAGCCAAACCAGCAAAAUCGGUGCCACCAACUAUUUUCACUCGGCCCUACCGAUUUUUCACUUGACGGAUCCUAUGCCAAACCAUACUAUCUCAAUUCCACCAACUUUCACAUCGGUGCCAUCGAGAUUGAGUGACCAGCUUUCUAUUGAGAAGAUUUCA